rnacentral:rRNA from 1 species
UACGUAGGGCGCAAGCGUUGUCCGGAAUUAUUGGGCGUAAAGAGCUCGUAGGCGGCCUGUUGCGUCCGCUGUGAAAUCCCGGGGCUCAACCCCGGGCCUGCAGUGGAUACGGGCUGGCUAGAGGCAGGCAGGGGAGAACGGAAUUCCUGGUGUAGCGGUGAAAUGCGCGGAUAUCAGGAGGAACACCGGUGGCGAAGGCGGUUCUCUGGGCCUGUACUGACGCUGGGGAGCGAAAGCGUGGGGAGCAAACAGG